UCGGUUGGAAAAGGCCUCUGACAUCAUGGAGCCCAGCCUGGACCGAACAGCGCCGUGUAAAAGAGACCCUGGCACUGACAACCAAGUGCAGUCUUUCCUUAAACAGCCCUAGGGACGACGAGAACACCACCUCCUUAGGCAGCACAUUCCAAUGUUUGUUUAAUCAUCUUUGGUGUCGAGAAAUUUCUCCUAAUGUCCAACCCCAACAACCCCUGGCACAGCUUGAGGCGAUAUCUUGUGGUUCUGGGUGUAAGAAAUGUAAGAACUUUAACUAGAAUUGUGUCAUAAAUAGGUUGUCUUUGAAUCUUGUCCCUUAGAUAUUCUCACUGGAAGGUCAAACGAUACCUUGUGGCGGUAUCAGCACACUUGUGCUGUCACUUGCUACCUGUGGGAAGAACCAGAGCCCCGGGCUGCAGCCUCCUCCCAGGGAGCUGUAGAGAGCCAUGAGGGCACACCCGAGCCUCCUUCGCUCCCUCGGCUGCGCCUCACGGGACUUGUGCUCCGGACCCUUCCCCAGCUCCAUUGUCCUUCUCUGGACUCGCUCCAGCUCCUGAGUUGAGGGGCUCAGAACUGGACACAGCACUCAAGGUGUGGCCUCACCAGUGCCGAGAGGGACAAUCACUGCCCUGGUCCCGCUGGCCACACCAUUUCUGACGCAGGCCAGGAUGCCACUUGUCUUCUUGGCCACCUGGGUACAUGCUGGCUUAUGUUGAGGUCCCUUCUUUUGUCUUUAAGGUCCCUUCCAACCCAAACCAUUUUGUGAUUCUGUUAAGAGUCAUGGGAGAAAACCAAGUCACCCACUUGAAGGAUGCCCAGGGUGACACUGCUGGGCCUUUAUAUAGAGAGCUUGCCAGGAAUUAUUGGCCAGGCCUAGAAAGAAAUGAAGCCAUUUGAAAUCCUUUCUAGAUGUCCCUUAGACAGUUUUUGUACCUUUCUUGGAAAUGAAGGACAUGUGCUUUGACCAUGAUUUCCACUUAAUCACCACCUGCACGUGGAAUUGUCAUUUGUAUUCCUGGGGAGUCUCUGUGGGAUUUACACUGAAUGCUAUAAAUUCCUGGCUUGAAAAAACAAGCCCCUCCUGUGCAGUGAGGUAUUCAUUCAAACCAUUUGGUCCCUUGCCAAAGCCAGCAGAUCCUGACAUCAAAUGAGAGAGAUGGACCUCUGAAACUGAAGAGGAGUUGCUUUUCUUAUGAUGGAAUUAAGAACUUUCCGAAAGCCUACUAUUGCCAGGUGCUGAGGAUCUCUGGAGACAUGAAUUAGGAGAACGAGUUUCAAUACAUUCAGCAAAUUACAGGAUCAGGCAGCCAGGAGUUAAGCAGCCAUGCAGACCUCUGGAAGGAGCCAUAUUCCUCAACAAAGUGUAAUGGCUCUGUUUCUCAAAAGCAACAUAGAAGGCAGAGAGCUGUAGCAAGAGGGAA